rnacentral:rRNA from 1 species
ACAGAGGGUGCGAGCGUUAAUCGGAAUUACUGGGCGUAAAGGGUGCGUAGGUGGUUACGUAAGUUAGGUGUGAAAUUCCUGGGCUCAACCUGGGGACUGCGCCUAAUACUGCGAGACUAGAGUACUGUAGAGGAAGGUGGAAUUUCCAGUGUAGCGGUGAAAUGCGUAGAUAUUGGAAGGAACAUCGGUGGCGAAGGCGACCUUCUGGACAGAUACUGACACUGAGGCACGAAAGCAUGGGGAGCAAACAGGAUUAGAUACCCUGGUAGUCCAUGCCGUAAACGAUGAAGACUGGCUGUUGGAAACCUUAGGGUUUUUAGUAGCGAAGCUAACGCGUUAAGUCUUCCGCCUGGGGAGUACGGCCGCAAGGUUA